UACGAAGGGGGGCUAGCGUUGCUCGGAAUUACUGGGCGUAAAGGGCGCGUAGGCGGACAGUUAAGUCAGAGGUGAAAGCCCAGGGCUCAACCCUGGAAUUGCCUUUGAUACUGGCUGUCUUGAGUGCGGGAGAGGUGUGUGGAACUCCGAGUGUAGAGGUGAAAUUCGUAGAUAUUCGGAAGAACACCAGUGGCGAAGGCGACACACUGGCCCGUAACUGACGCUGAGGCGCGAAAGCGUGGGGAGCAAACAGG
rnacentral:rRNA from 1 species